CCUACGGGUGGCUGCAGUGAGGAAUAUUGGUCAAUGGGCGCGAGCCUGAACCAGCCAAGUCGCGUGAGGGAUGACGGCCCUACGGGUUGUAAACCUCUUUUGCCGGGGAGCAACGGGCGCCACGUGUGGCGCCACGGAGAGGACCCGGAGAAAAAGCAUCGGCGAACCCCGUGCCAGCAGCCGCGGUAAUCAGGAGGAUGCGAGCGUUAUCCGGAUUUAUUGGGGUGAAAGGGUGUGUAGGCAGAUCGUUAAGUCAGGGGUCAAAUUGAGGGGCUCAACCCCUUCCCGCCAUUGCAACUGGCGCUCUUGAGUGGAAGAGAUGUAUGCGGACUGCGUGGUGUAGCGG
rnacentral:rRNA from 1 species